CCCAAGCUUCUGACCUUCAGGCUAGACU
rnacentral:piRNA from 1 species